rnacentral:rRNA from 1 species
UACGUAGGGUGCGAGCGUUAAUCGGAAUUACUGGGCGUAAAGCGUGCGCAGGCGGUUCGUUAAGUCAGCUGUGAAAGCCCCGGGCUCAACCUGGGAACGGCGGUUGAAACUGGCGAACUAGAAUCUGGCAGAGGGGGGUGGAAUUCCACGUGUAGCAGUGAAAUGCGUAGAGAUGUGGAGGAAUACCGAUGGCGAAGGCAGCCCCCUGGGAUAACACUGACGCUCAUGCACGAAAGCGUGGGGAGCAAACAGG